GCUCAGCUGGGAGAGCACCUCCCUUACAAGGAGGGGGUCGGCGGUUCGAUCCCGUCAUCACCCA
rnacentral:tRNA from 1 species